rnacentral:misc_RNA from 1 species
GUAAUAGUUGCUUGUGANUGGAANCCNUUUUGUAUGGUGGUANUAACAUCUGUUUGAUGUCUCGUGNAUUAGCCUCUAUGUCNGUCUNCNAGGCUUGNAGAUUGCUAUAUGGRAUGUGGCCCUUCCACCCUUGGGUUUGGGAGCNGCCUCACGGUAUUCUCCUUUCUAAGGCUGUGGAAUGANGGCCUCAUGAUAUUGUUGCAAAUGUGGCUCCUUCGAAAUCGGGUCUUGGUGUCGUGGCGCCUUUGCUCNAGUUGUGAUUUAUCCAAGAGGAUAGUGCCUUCAUCUUCAGUGCGACUUUGGUGCUUUCCCCUCCUGUCAUAUGAAAUGUAUGACUGUGGUAGGGUGAGAUCAUGGUUGCGUUGAGGACGUGCUACCUGGUUGAUCCUGCCAGUAGUCAUAUGCUUGUCU